CCUGUGCUGGCUUGUCCAUCUCGUUAGUGGGAAGGUGUUUCACCUGAGCUGGUCCAGGUUCUAUUUAAGAGUGUCUGGCCCAGUGCUCCAGUUGUCUUGAUAGAUGUGGAGAGGUAACACCUUUAGUUGAGCCAACUUUUGGUUUUCUUCCUGAUCCUGCUUCCUGUCUGUAAGGACAGAACAUGGACACAAUGCAAUUGGGAUCAAGAAGAAGAUCUAGUCAGAAAUGAACAAAGUCCAUGGAAUGGAUAUGGACACAAAGAGAAUUCAAGGACUAUCAGAGGUAGAGAGGCGAGGCAGGGGACUGGAGACCACAGC